UAGAGAAAGCCCGCACGCAGCAACGAAGACCCAACGUAGCCAGAAACAGUAAAUAAAUAAAUAAAUUUAUUUAAAGAAGAAAUGACUGAGGCAGGUCUGAGACCAGAGCUGUCUGCUCAGCCUGCACCUCCCUGCCCCCACAUCACUGAACACACACGUCCAGGGCAACAGGGCCCCACCCCACUUCACAGAUGAGGUAACUGAGGCACAGGGGGAGGGGCCAGCUCAAGGUCCCACCGUAAAGCUGGGAUUCAAGCCCAGGUUGGGCCGGGCCUCCCGAGCUCGGCCCUCCACCCACCGAGCCCCCGUCUGCAUCUCAACGGCCCGGGUGGGCCUGCAGCAGGUGCUGGGCCAGCAGUGUCCCUUUGUGAGCCCGGGGUAUUGUCCCCUGGACAAAGCCCUCAAUUCCCACUAACGGCCACCCACACGCUCACUUCUAAGGAUAAAGGAAUCUGCAGCCAGCCGCCCCCCAGCUCCAGAUGGCGGCCCCCGCCCGUCUGCUUCCCUCCUGACCCUCUGACUCUGCGCCCACCCCGCAUCAGGCCGGGCUGCUGCACUGGGGCGGAAGAAAAGAGGUGGCCCUCCAAGGCCUCAUCUUUGUGUCCUCAGCAUGGUGGCCGGCCCAGUGAGCUGCCCUACGCCUCCCUCCCCGCCAUCCAUCCCAGCCUUUUCAUCCUUCCCAGGCAAGACACAAAGCCACAGAGGCGGCCCCUCCUCCGGCUCCAGCUGAGCUAGCUUUUCUGUCUUCUGGGCGUUGGAGCCCAGCCCCUGCCCAGCAGUGCUGGCCCCAGGCAGCUGCCCAGGUGUCUUAAAGGCCCAGCUUCUCCUCCGUGGCGCAGGGCAGAGAAAUGGCUGAGACACGGGGCUUCAAGAGAAUCUAGUCACCGGGUGGAGGAUGGUUCCCCUCGAAGCAGGAUCAGGCCAUUGGACCACUCAGGGCUCGCCUGGUGCUGGACUCCCGCACGCCCAUGCCCUUUCUGCCAAGACGUUUUUGAGGCUGCAUCCAUCCAUAUGCUUGUUGGUCCGUUCACUUGUUUAUUCACCAUCUUACUGGGAGCCCUGGGCCUGCUGCUGGGCCAAACAACGUCAAGACAUCGUGCUUCCCUAGGAGGGCUCAUGGGCUGGGCCAGGAGGCCAGUAAUCCGGAUCCUUUUGGCCCAUCCUCCCAGCAGGUUCUGAAGCACUGAGACAGGCAAGGUUGGUGACGGUGCAGAGUGCCCCCAGCUACCCCAAAGCGUUCAGCAGCCUGGGAGAGCUGACUCUGAGACAAGCCUGUCCUGCGCUUAAGCAGGCUUCCUUCCGGGCCCUCCACUCAGAGAUUCUCCAGUUGCCACAGGUUCCUGGUCAGGAUGGUGGAUUGAGGUGCUAUGGGAAGCUCUCUUUCUAUGUACAAACACACAGAAGUGCUGGACAGAAUAUAACCAUUUAAAAUAAUCCAGUCAAGGUCAAAACCAAAAAGGUAGGGGCAGCCACGUGACGCAGUUCUGGCCAAGUUGAUGGAGGUACAAGUUCUGGCGGGAGAAGGUGAGGGAGCCUCUCCCUGAAUAGAAUGGCAAAGCUCACUAGAAGAAAAUCCUUCCCACCCCCAAUAUCACUGGUCCUUCUUAUGCCUGGACAGCAGACAUGAGGCCUGGAGGCGCAGCAGCCAUCUUGUAACCAUGAGUCAGCAACAAAAAAGGUAAAGUGGAAAGACAGAAAGAACACAGGCUGUGGGGGCAGACAGACCUUCCUUUUCCACUUUCUGGCUGUGUGGCCUUGGGUACGUCACUUAACUUCUCGGAGCCUCACUUCCCACAACCUGUAAGAUGGGGAUAAAACCUCUCCCUUGAACAGUCCUUGUGAGGAUUAAAUACUGUGUUGAGUAUGGAUCCACUUUUUCUCCUGUAAAGAGCUAUCCCAAUGUUUGGAGUUAUUUUUACAAUCAUGCUGUGACAACUACUUUAGAGCAAAAGAAAGAAGAGACCCUUUAUUUCUCCUCUUGGAGAAAGUUCCAAGGCGGGAUACGGGCCUCGAGCCAAUGGGCCCUGCUCUUUGGCCGAUCAGCUAUGCAAACAGGAAGUGACUGUCCAAACAUUUGGAGCUGCAGAAGGCUAGCCCAGAGCCGGCCUCCUCUCUCCACCGUGGUGCGUCCUCGUCUCCCCGCUGGGAGCACCUCAAAAGUCAAGGACAUGGUUCCCCAGAUGAGGAACUAGGUUCAGAGCCACCCCUUCUGGCUGCCCUGCCCACCAGUCUGGGCCAGACCGCCUGCCUUUCGGGCUGAAGUCGGACGGCAGCCUCUUGCCCGGCUCCCACUGUCUUCUGCCCUUCCCCUCUCCUUCCAUCUCUUUGUCACAGCUGUAGUCAGGGUGAUUUUUUUGCAGUGCAAGUCUGUUCCUGUCGCCCCCUUGCUAGAACUUUCCCAUGGCUUCAUGCUCUCUCGGGGGAAAGGCCGAAGACCUCGUCACAGCCAUUGGGGUUGGCCUGGCCUCGGCCUGCCUCUCCAGCUCUACCCCUCCAGCUGCUGUUUUAGCUGCUGGACCGGGCCAAGGCCCCUCCUGCCUCUGCGCUUGGCCCACACUGUUCCCGUUUUCUAGCACGCUCUCCCCCCUCCCCCUCCCUGGCCCAUCUCGCCAGGUAACGUCCCACCCUCAGCACUGCACUCCCGGGUCAGGUGUGCAGGCGCUGGCUGAGCCUGCAGCAGGCACGCCGAGGGCCCUGCUCUCCCUGACAGCAGGCAGCCAGCUGUUGCCACACGUACGCUCACGUGGGGACCUCACGCACUCACGAGUGCUGCUCGGGGUGAGGACUGCGGAAUGUCUUGUUCAGAAUGACACCCCCUGUGGCUGGCAUAGUCCCUGUGCAGAGCUGGUGCUCAGUAAAUGUGGAAGGCAGGCAGGCCGGGUGCCUUGUGGUUUGAAAGGGAGGGAGCUCUGUUUACCGAGCACCUAAGUGAGCCAGGCAGGGCCUCACUGCCUCUUCACAGCCUCCCUGGCAGGCAGGGGCCCCAAGCUCUGUUCCAUCCAAGAGGAAACAGGGACUCUGAGGGGGGCCAUGACUUGCCCAAAGUCACACAUCUGUCAGAGGCCCUGCCAGGACUUGAACCUUGGUCCCGAGCCCAGCUUCCUACCCUGGUGGAGCUAGCACAAGGGAUCACUGUGCAUCUGUUUCCUCACCUGGAGAAUGGGGACAUAACGGUACCUACCUCACAGGUCUGGUGGCUGUGAGGACUCAGUGAGGUUAAGUGCUUAGUCAGGUUAAGUGCUUAGCUCAGAGCCUGGCACACCUUAGGUGCUCGGUAAGUGUUAGCUGUUAUCAUCUUUGUUAUUGCACGGAUCAAAGAACAAAUAAGAACAAAUCUAUCGUAUUACCCCCAGCGAAUAGGCAAACGGAGGGGCUUUAUGGGUAAACAGGCCCACGGAUGGAUGGGUGGGCGAAUACCUGAAGACGUGAACAACACGGGGACGAGUUGAGGGGAGGAAAGCGCACCUGAGGUUCAGGAGAACGGGAGCUGAUCUGGGGCACCCGGGCCGCCGGCUCACCUGUAGCGCCGCAGCUCGCCCUCCAGCCGCCGCACCCAGCGCUGCAGGCCGGGCACCUGCCGCGCCAGCGCCUCGAGCUCGCGCA